rnacentral:rRNA from 1 species
UGGGGAAUAUUGCACAAUGGGGGAAACCCUGAUGCAGCGACGCCGCGUGAAGGAAGAAGUAUUUCGGUAUGUAAACUUCUAUCAGCAGGGAAGAAAGUGACGGUACCUGAGUAAGAAGCCCCGGCUAACUACGUGCCAGCAGCCGCGGUAAUACGUAGGGGGCAAGCGUUAUCCGGAUUUACUGGGUGUAAAGGGAGCGUAGACGGCGGAGCAAGUCUGAUGUGAAAGGCAGGGGCUUAACCCCUGGACUGCAUUGGAAACUGUUUAGCUGGAGUGCCGGAGAGGUAAGCGGAAUUCCUAGUGUAGCGGUGAAAUGCGUAGAUAUUAGGAGGAACACCAGUGGCGAAGGCGGCUUACUGGACGGUAACUGACGUUGAGGCUCGAAAGCGUGGGGAGCAAACA